CCGGUAAACGGCGGCCGUAACUAUAACGGUCCUAAGGUAGCGAAAUUCCUUGUCGGGUAAGUUCCGACCUGCACGAAUGGCGUAAUGAUGGCCAGGCUGUCUCCACCCGAGACUCAGUGAAAUUGAACUCGCUGUGAAGAUGCAGUGUACCCGCGGCAAGACGGAAAGACCCCGUGAACCUUUACUAUAGCUUGACACUGAACACUGGUCCUUGAUGUGUAGGAUAGGUGGGAGGCUUUGAAGCGUGGACGCCAGUCUGCGUGGAGCC
rnacentral:rRNA from 1 species